rnacentral:rRNA from 1 species
UUUAUUGGAGAGUUUGAUCCUGGCUCAGGAUGAACGCUGGCGGCGUGCCUAAUACAUGCAAGUCGAGCGAAUGGAUUAAGAGCUUGCUCUUAUGAAGUUAGCGGCGGACGG